GAGGAUAUAGCUCAAGACGCAGGGUGCAUGCUUAGCAUGCAUGAGGUCCUGGGUUCAAUCCUCAGUACCUCU
rnacentral:tRNA from 1 species